UUGAACGCUGGCGGCAUGCUUUACACAUGCAAGUCGAACGGCAGCGCGGGCUUCGGCCUGGCGGCGCGAGUGGCGAACGGGUGAGUAAUAUAUCGGAACGUACCCAGGGGUGGGGGAUAACGUAGCGAAAGUUACGCUAAUACCGCAUACGCUCUAUGGAGGAAAGCAGGGGAUCGCAAGACCUUGCGCGCUUGGAGCGGCCGAUAUCUGAUUAGCUAGUUGGUGGGGGUAAAGGCUCACCAAGGCAACGAUCAGUAGCUGGUCUGAGAGGACGACCAGCCACACUGGGACUGAGACACGGCCCAGACUCCUACGGGAGGCAGCAGUGGGGAAUUUUGGACAAUGGGGGCAACCCUGAUCCAGCAAUGCCGCGGUGAGUGAAGAAGGCCUUCGGGUUGUAAAGCUCUUUUGUCAGGGAAGAAAAGGUUGCGGUUAAUACCCGUGACUGCUGACGGUACCUGAAGAAUAAGCACCGGCUUAACUACGUGCCAGCAGCCGCGGUAAUACGUAGGGUGCAAGCGUUAAUCGGAAUUACUGGGCGUAAAGCGUGCGCAGGCGGUUUUGUAAGUCUGUCGUGAAAUCCCCGGGCUUAACCUGGGAAUGGCGAUGGAGACUGCAAGGCUGGAGUUUGGCAGAGGGGGGUAGAAUUCCACGUGUAGCAGUGAAAUGCGUAGAGAUGUGGAGGAACACCGAUGGCGAAGGCAGCCCCCUGGGUCAAAACUGACGCUCAUGCACGAAAGCGUGGGAGCAAACAGGAUUAGAUACCCUGGUAGUCCACGCCCUAAACGAUGUCUACUAGUUGUCGGGUCUUAAUUGACUUGGUAACGCAGCUAACGCGUGAAGUAGACCGCCUGGGGAGUACGGUCGCAAGAUUAAAACUCAAAGGAAUUGACGGGGACCCGCACAAGCGGUGGAUGAUGUGGAUAAUUCGAUGCAACGCGAAAAAACCUUACCUACCCUUGACAUGGAAGGAAUCCCUGAGAGAUUGGGGAGUGCCCGAAAGGGAACCUUUACACAGGUGCUGCAUGGCUGUCGUCAGCUCGUGUCGUGAGAUGUUGGGUUAAGUCCCGCCACGAGCGCAACCCUUGUCAUUAGUUGCUACGAAAGGGCACUCUAAUGAGACUGCCGUUGACAAACCGGAGGAAGGUGGGGAUGACGUCAAGUCCUCAUGGCCCUUAUGGGUAGGGCUUCACACGUCAUACAAUGGUACAUACAGAGGGCCGCCAAACCGCGAGGUGGAGCUAAUCCCAGAAAGUGUAUCGUAGUCCGGAUUGUAGUCUGCAACUCGACUACAUGAAGUUGGAAUCGCUAGUAAUCGCGGAUCAGCAUGUCGCGGUGAAUACGUUCCCGGGUCUUGUACACACCGCCCGUCACACCAUGGGAGCGGGUUUUUUACCAGAAGUAGGUAGCUUAACCGCAAGGAGGGCGCUUACCACGGUAGGAUUCGUGACUGGGGUG
rnacentral:rRNA from 1 species